GUAGGGGUCCAAGCGUUAAUCGGGAAUUACUGGGGCGUAAAGCGUGCGCAGGCGGUUGUGGCAAGACCGAUGUGAAAUCCCCCGGGGCUUAACCUGGGGAAUUGCAUUGGUGACUGCACGGCUAGAGCGUGUCAGAGGGGGGGUAGAAUUCCACGUGUAGCAGUGAAAUGCGUAGAGAUGUGGAGGAAUACCGAUGGCGAAGGCAGCCCCCCUGGGAUAACACUGACGCUCAUGCACGAAAGCGUGGGGAGCAAACAGGAUUAGAUACCCUGGUAGUCCACGCCCUAAACGAUGUCAACUAGUUGUUGGGGAUUCAUUUCCUUAGUAACGUAGCUAACGCGUGAAGUUGACCGCCUGGGGAGUACGGUCGCAAAGAUUA
rnacentral:rRNA from 1 species